rnacentral:rRNA from 1 species
UAGGGAAUCUUCGGCAAUGGACGAAAGUCUGACCGAGCAACGCUGCGUGAGUGAAGAAGGUUUUCGGAUCGUAAAACUCUGUUGGUAGAGAAGAACGUUGGUGAGAGUGGAAAGCUCAUCAAGUGACGGUAACUACCCAGAAAGGGACGGCUAACUACGUGCCAA